rnacentral:rRNA from 1 species
CCCUUAGAUGUUCUGGGCCGCACGCGCGCUACACUGAUGCAUUCAACGAGUCUAAAACCUGCUCUGAUAGGGGUGGGUAAUCUUUUGAAUGUGCAUCGUGAUUGGGAUAGAUGAUUGCAAUUUUUCAUCUUCAACGAGGAAUGCCUAGUAAACGCAAGUCAUCAGCUUGCAUUGAUUACGUCCCUGCCCUUUGUACACACCGCCCGUCGCUCCUACCGAUUGAAUGAUCCGAUGAAUAUCAUGGAUUGAGGAUUAUAGCAGGUUCGCCUGUCUUGACCUUCGAGAAGUGAAGUAAAUCUUAUCAUUUAGAGGAAGGAGAAGUCGUAACA